GAUGAACGCUGACAGAAUGCUUAACACAUGCAAGUCCACUUGAAUUUGGGUUUUUAACUUCGGUUUGGGUGGCGGACGGGUGAGUAACGCGUAAAGAACUUGCCUCACAGCUAGGGACAACAUUUGGAAACGAAUGCUAAUACCUAAUAUUAUGAUAAUAGGGCAUCCUAUAAUUAUGAAAGCUAUAAGCGCUGUGAGAGAGCUUUGCGUCCCAUUAGCUAGUUGGAGAGGUAACGGCUCACCAAGGCGAUGAUGGGUAGCCGGCCUGAGAGGGUGAUCGGCCACAAGGGGACUGAGACACGGCCCUUACUCCUACGGGAGGCAGCAGUGGGGAAUAUUGGACAAUGGACCGAGAGUCUGAUCCAGCAAUUCUGUGUGCACGAUGAAGUUUUUCGGAAUGUAAAGUGCUUUCAGUUGGGAAGAAACAAAUGACGGUACCAACAGAAGAAGUGACGGCUAAAUACGUG
rnacentral:rRNA from 1 species